AGAAGGCGUGCUUGAUUUAUAAAAUUUGCUUAGGUCUUCCCAACAUCUCCUCGAUGACACACAUUGUCGUCCAUGCUUGUUGUAAUUCCCAGAAGUGUGUAACACUGUACAAAGGUGCUCGCAAGUGCAGUUGCAUUAGAAUAAUAACUCCAAGGCAGACACUGCUGCUAGAAGACCGUGCAGGCGUGGAUAUUGAAUAAUGUUUCCAUUGCAUCAUUAAACAGUUCCUAAAUAGCAUGAGCCAUUGAAAUUCGCUGAACAAUGCAGAGGUGCAAUAUUUCUUUAUCGGACAUGAGAUAAUGGGGAAAAACAAAGAAUUCCCAAUAUUCCUUGGUCUUGACACCCACACUUGUAUAACUUUUGUUUCUCUCCAGUGCUGUCCUCGUUUCCAUUCCCCUUCCGCUGGCAGUGUAGCUUCUUGACUACACAUGAGAUCCUCAUUAAUACAUCGAAAAAACUUGUAGCCGAGAAACAUUGUCAUUUUCGAUUCCUUUUCUCCAUUGUGAAACCUACAUUCUAGUGAUAUGCAUGAAAGAUGCGAAGUAAAUUCUGUACAGAAUUUUUGAUUGCAGAUUUCUUCUUCUCAGUUGAGUAAUCUUGAUGAUGUAACCAUGUUAUCUUGGUUGUUGACGCUUCCAUGUUUUGUAACACCAUCCCUCUGCAAAAAAGAAGCAAAUGUUAAUGGAAAAAAUUAUCUCCAUAUUCUCGUUUGGUCGAUCAUGGUGACUGCAUGUUGUAUUAAUGUUGAUUGCAUUUGUUUCUUCCCUUUCCUUCUCUAAUUUCUUGCAACUCUUAUUCUCAGGGUUGGACAUUGUAGCUUAUCCUCAUUUACCAACCUUCUGCUUGAAGCAUCAAGUUCCUAGAAACCACAACUCUCUAUGUUACAACUGUCAAGUGCAUAAUUUGCAAGGUGGUCUGCUAGCUUGUUUCCCUCUCCUAAAAUGUGAGAUAUCUUGAAAUUACACCCUAGUUUGAGUCUGUUGAUUCCCUCCGUAGCAUCCACAAUAUUGCAGGGUGGUUUCCAUUGUCCAUCUAUAAUAUUUUGAAGCAUCAUUGAAUCUGUCUGAAGCAAAACAUUAUGGAGGUUCAUUGUUAUGCACAUUCUCAUUGCCUCUACUAUUGCUGUCACCUUAGCUUCAUUGUUAGAACCCUCCUUAAUUUCUAUUCCUUCUGCAUAUAUCAAAUCACCUAUCUCAUCUCUUAGACAAAAACCAAUUAACUCCUCCCUAGGUUCCCUCUGCAUGCUCCAUCAGUAUUCACUUUGAUCCAGCCCGUUGGAGGAAAUUCCCAUAGCACUUUAUCAUAUUUCAAUCGAGGUGUGUAUUGCUCCAUCAUUGUCAGCCAGUCCAGCCACUUGUGAGGCACAUGUAGUCCUGGUUUUUUCAGUUGGACCAGAGCUUGUAGAGUAGAUGACACAUGAAAAAUGACUCUUCUUACUGACACUGCUUCUCCAUAUUUCAAACUGUUUCUUCUCUUCCAUAACUCCCAUGCAAUGCAUGCAGGUAAAGCUCACAAGACAGGCUUCAAUCUAUUAACAACUGAUGACGUCCAACAUUUUGUAAUUGCUUGUUGUAAAGACGACCCUUGAAUUACAAUUCCUGCUCUCGUCAGGAUGUAACUCCAAACAGCCGUAGCUCCAUUGAAUGAGAAGAACAAAUGUACUAAAGACUCCUCCUUAGGAUCUGCACAGCACCAACAUUUCGAUGCCAUAGAGUAUCCUAUUCUACGUAAGAAACCAUCAAGUGGCAAUUUGGCUUUCCACACCUUCCACAGGAAGAAGGAUAUCUUGAAUGGUAAGUCAUUAACCCAUAUCAUCUUGUAAGCUAUCCUUGGAAUGCCUCUUCUUUGCAGGUAAUCCCAUGCAGAUUUCGCUGAAAAAUGCCCCCUUGUUUCAGCCAUCUAGAAUGGUGUAUCUAACUCUGCACCUUCAACUGGUGGUCUAAUAUUCUGCAAAUGUGGUUUGCCAAAUCUUCAG
rnacentral:lncRNA from 1 species